rnacentral:rRNA from 1 species
CUUCAUGUUGGUGGUGUGAGGUCGUGCCUGUCCACUGAAUUUUGAAGGGCCGCGGUAUUUUGACCGUGCAAAGGUAGCAUAAUCAUUAGUCUUUUAAUUGGGGACUGGAAUGAAUGGUUUGACAAGGUAAUUACUGUCUCUUUUGUAUUGAAUGAAUUUAAUUUUUAAGUUAAAACGCUUAAUUGUUGAAGGGGGACGAGAAGACCCUAUAGUUCUUUGUUUGACUAAUUAUUAGUUGGUAGGUGAUUUAUUUAUUAGUUAUGUUAGAUUAAUUUGAUUGAGGUGAUCAGAGAAUUUAUUUAACUUCUUUUGAAAUUUAUUUUGAUUGAAAUAUAAGGGAUCCUAUAUUAUGGGUGGAAGAUUAAGAUACCUUAGAGAUAACAGCGUUAUUCUAUUUGAGAGAUCGUAUUGACAAUAGAGUUUUGGACCUCGAUGUUGGAUUAAGAUUGCGGGUUGGCGUAGUAGUUAUCUGUGUUAGUCUGUUC